GUCGAUAUGUCCCAGUGGUUAAGGAGACAGACUUGAAAUCUGUUGGAAAUCUGUUGGGUUCAAACUCUGCUGUCGACG
rnacentral:tRNA from 1 species